AGGGUUGCACCCACUGCAUAUGGAGGUUCCCAGACUAGGGGCUGAAUCAGAGCUACCGCUGCUGGCCUACACCACAGCUACAGCAAUGCCAGAUCCAAGCCUCAUCUUCGACCUACACCACAACUCACAGCAAUGCCAGAUCCUUAACCCACUGAUCGAGGCCAAGGAUUGAACCCGCAAUCCUUAACCCACUGAUCGAGGCCAAGGAUUGAACCCGCAAUUCCUACUCGGAUUGUUUCUGCUGCGCCACCAUGGGAUCUCCUAAUAACUCAACUUUUGACUCUUAAUUCUGAAGACACAAUAGUAGAUGAUAAGACCUUAAGGCAUAAUUUCCUAACAUUAUUUAUCAACAUACUUCCAUGUAGAUGGUAGAAUUAACAACAGUAGAAUCCCUCUUUAUCCCAAUGACUUGGACCCAUGAUUAGUUGGUUAACUGAAAGAAUCAUUUAAGGGGGGUGUGUAGGGUUGGGCUUUGUCAAUUUGGUUAACCUUUGGUUUUCCCAAAUCUCCUUCUCUUUAUGGUUCUAGAUUAGAAUUGGGAGAUGGGAGGAUGGUGGUGUGAGAUUUGGGAGGUGGGGGUAAAGAAACAGCCACUACCCUUGGCAUGUUGCUGCACUCAGAAACAGUGACAGAUUGUCACAGGUGCCAAUGUGGAUCCUCACUUGUUCCUGCUCUCCUCUGUUCUAGCUUUUUGUCCUGACUCCUGUCUGAGAAUGAUUCCAGGGCCACCUGCAGAGGUUGGCUGCAGCUCCACCGAGGCAGCCUCCCUUAGGUGACAGUUCCCCAUAGACCUCUCCCUGAGGUGAAGUCUCACCUCAGGAACAGCCAUGGUUGGCUUCCACAUCAGUAUUUUAGGAUGACUUGUUAGUGACUCCAUGAGCUUCUGCUUUUCUUUCAGAACUCUCCUUUCCCAGUUCCUCCCACAUUUGCAAUUUCUAAUUCCUAAAAUAAACUCUUUAUUCACAUAACAUUCACAGUGGCUCUGUUUCCCUGACUGAACCCUGACUGAUAAAGUGUAGACUUAAACACACACAGAUCUAUUUGUAUAUUUAACUUGAAACAUGUAAAUGUCCAUUCAUUUGCCAUCUUUGAAUGAAGUAUAGGGUGUGAGUCAAUUGUUUGUAGAUUCCUUUGAUGUACCAUACCCUUAAUGCAGUAUCUAUAAUUUCUAGUUUCCAUCUUAGAGUGAAACAUGAAAUAAUAUGGGUCCAGAAUACUUCUAGAUUUUUCUGAUCCUGCCUAUCAAUAUCUUUUACAGUAACUUCACCAAACCUAUUUCUGCAGGAAUUAUUUCUGGCAAGCACCUUUACCAAGUCUAUCCAAAUUGCUUAACCUAGUUUUCAUAGAAACAAUAACUAUCUUUUAUUUAUAUUUCAUUGGUUAUUUAAUGUCUAUUUAAAUUGUGCAUUUAUAAUAACAACUGGCAAACACAUAUUUAGGAACAAACGAAAGAUUCCUGGAAGGAGAAAUGUUGGGCUACUGAAUAACAGCCGUGAUCAUUCAGCUACCAGUGUGCUACCCAUGGGCAUCUGGUGAGCAUUUUUUUUUUUUUUUCUUUUUAGGGCCACAGCCGUGGUAAAUGGAAGUUCCCAGGCUAGGGGUCCAACUGGAGCUGCAGCUGCUGGCCUACACCACAGCCAUAGCAACAAAGGAUUUAAGCCGCAUCUGUGACCUAUGCCAGAGCUCACGGCAACACUGGAUCCUUAACCCACUGAGCAAGGCCAGGGAUUGAACCCACAUCUUCAUGGAUAUUAGUCUGAUUUAUUUCCUCUGUGCCACAACAGGAACUUCUGGUGAGCAUGUUUUACAUGUGGAGAACCCUGGUAACUCUUAGGAGGUCAAAAGAGUUAUCAUUAUAAUCUGAAUCUGACACAUCCCACAGAUUGUUUUUGGAAUAAAUCUCUGACAUCUCAUUUACUCCCUCUUCAUGAAGGCAGAAAACAUAACACGCACAAAAAAAGUAUCUGAGUUUCAUAAUCAUUAGAUUUACAUUAUUUUGAGUUUUCUAAAUUUUAGGUAUUGGAAGGCAGAGACCAAUUACGACUAUGUUUUGACCCAUAGAUGUGGCUUUGUUAAGGUCAGAGUAGCAGUUCUUUGGAAGAAUCUUGCAUGUAAUUAAACAAAUCUAGGAAGGAUAAAGUAAAACUUUUAAGGUCAUUCUGCUGUCUCUAUUUUGGAAGAAAAGGGCCAAAAACUGUAUAAGAUACCCUAAGGAUCUCAGAGUCUUUAUUUGAAUUUAAGGACUAGUCCACUAUUAUUUAUUUUUAAUCUUCCUUCUUUUUCUGUGGCCUGAUCAAACAGAUAAAUCUAAAGAUUGUCUAGACAUUGCUGAAUACUUAUUACAUACCAAGUUCUGAAAUGGCUAUUAUCACAGGUACCGUCUCAUUUAACCCUUACACCAAUCCUAGAGGACGUGAUUUAUUCUAUAUGAGGAUAUUUUCUAUAUGAGGAAACAAAUCAGCAGCAUUGGGGACUUAACCAAGGUUACUCAGAUAUAAGCAGUUAAGGCGAAUUCACCCCAGGUCAGCUCAAUGGCUUUUCACUUCAGAGCUGGAAAGAAUGUGAGUAGGAGAUCAUGUUUCUUAGUCCCAUGAAAUAUAAUUGAUAAACUUACAUUUGUUUUACAAUUACAAAAUUAUUAUAUAAUGAGUUUACAAUUUUUUAAAACAUUAUAUAACUUGAAAUAAGGGGAUUUAAAAAUGUAUUAGGAAAAAAGAGGCCUAUCUCAUUAAACUAUCUACUUGCUAAGAAAUGGUAGUGAGACAAAUUUUAAAAAGUCAGAGCAAUAACUGAUGUAAAUACGCUUUGUAUUUCUCUUUUCUCUGUUUAGCAACCUAAAACAACUUUUAGAAACACUGCCUACUCUUUCACAAACGCCCAAUAGCAAGAGGUAGUUGUUACUGCCAGUUAACACGGGAGAAAGCAAGCUCAGAAAAUCCCAAGAACACAAAAGUAUGUGGCUAAGGUAGGAAUAAUCACCUUUGUGCCUGGUGUUCUGUCCAUUAAUGCUGGCUUCAUCUCUUCAGCCACCAUCAAAAUGAGUCAGUACCAUUUGGCGGAGACAAAAAGAUCUGGGUGACAAAUUUCAGCUAUAAUCUUGAGAGUAUUCUAAACAUAAUAUUGCGCCUUUUCUGAUUUUCUGUAAUUUUAGCGAGACCUCUCUCUUUCAUCACUUAGACAAUGACUGGAACAAAAGGAAAUUGCUCAUGUCCCAGUUUUGCGGAAGCCUCCAAUAACACAAAUGCUAAAGGCGGCCGAUUUGCUUUUUGCUUGUCACAAAUAUGUUUCCUUGGUUUACUGAAAUAAGCAGGCUAUAGCCAGGAAGUUACUCUACAGUCAAAUUAAUAGUUACAUUCUCCAUCCAGCUUCUAAGUGAAUUUUGAAGAGAUGUGUGUCUCUUGUGUGUACUUUUUUACCCAGUUAAUAAAUGUAUUCAAGAUCAUGGAAAGCCCAGUCAUGGUCUCCAGGGAGUUCUGGCUUUAAGUAUUCUGGUCUAAGUUAUCUUCACAUCUAUGAAUAAACAUCAUUUAUUGGGUGAAGCUCUCACCAGAACCAGAAAAAAUGAAUUGCCAGAGUUCCCGCUGCGGCUUAGUGGAAAAGAAGCUGACUAGUAUCCAUGAGGACAUGGGCUUAAUCCUUGGCCCUGCUCAGUGGGUUAAGGAUCCAGCAUUGUCUCGAGCUAUGGUAUAGGUCAAAGAUGUGGCUUGAAUCACAUAUUGCUGUGAUUGUGGUGUAGGCCAGCAACUGCAGCUUCUAUUUAACCCCCAGCCUGGGAACUUCCAUAUGCUGCAGAUGUGGCCCUAAAAAGCCAAAAGAAAAAAAAAAAAAAGAAAAAGAAAAAAGAAAAUGAAACGAAUUGCCGAUGGUUCCCUCCACCUCCAAACACAUUCAUUUUAGUUUUACUCUUUGUACUUAGAUUUUUCUUUGGAGACUGUUCUCUAGCUGAUCAUUCUGUGCUUUAUGUGUUCUCUUUCCCAUUAAUUUGCAGACAUCCUCAGAAGAGCACAUCUGUCUCUGCUCUACUCCUGGUUCACAAAUCAUAGAAGGGGGGAAGGGUGGUACAGACAGCAAAGUAAUACCGAUGGCCCAAUGCACACCAAGUCCUCUUCAUAUGCUAUUACUUUACCUCUCCACAAACAUUUUAUGAUUUAGCCAUUAUUAUCUCCAUUUUACAAAAAAAGAACUUGAAGUUCAGAGAAGCUGAACAAUUUCCCUGCUGUAACAGAGCUAGUAAACAGGAUAAGACCCAAACAAGAUCUGCCCUCUCUUCCCACUGUCCCACACUGCCUUCUUCUCCCUAUUUUUUUGGCCAUGUCCAUGGCAUAUGGAAGUUUCAGGGCUAGGGAUCAAACCUGUGCCACAUAAGGCCAUCUGCAGCAACAUGGAUACUACUAGAGAUUCUCAUACUCAGUGAAGUCAGAAAGAGAAAGACAAAUACCAUAUGAUAUCACUUAAAUGUGGAAUCUAAAAUACCGCACAAAUGAACCUAUCUACAAAACAGAAACAGACUCACAGACAUAUAGAACAGACUUGUGGUUUCCAAGGGGGAGGGAGAAGGGAGUGGGAUGAUGGGGAGUUUGGGGUAGCAGAUGCAAACUACUAUGAAUUUAUUUUUUUACUAAAUAAAAUUUUUUUUUGUCUUUUUAGGGCCACACCCACAGCAUAUGGAGGUUCCCAGGCUAGGGGUCCAACUGGAGCUAUAGCUGCUGGCCUACACCACAGCCACAGAAACACAGGAUCCAAGCCUCAUCUGUGACCUACACCACAGCUCAAGGCAAUGCCAGAUCUUUAACCCACUGAGCGAGGCCAAACCUGCAGCCUCAUGGUUACUAGUCGGAUUCGUUUCCACUGCACCACGACGGCACCUCCAAACUAUUACAAAUUUAUAAUGGAUAAGCAAUAAAGUCUUAUUGUAAAGCAGAGGGAGCUAUAUCCAGUCUCUUGGAAUGGGCCAUAAUGGAAGAUAGUACAAGAAAGGGAAUGUAGAUAUAUGUAUGACUGAAUCACUUUGCUGUACAGCAGAAAUUGGUACAAUAUUAAAAAAAGAAAAGAAAAGAAAGGCAAUAAGGGAGUUCCAUGGUUGCCUAGCUUCAUUAAUUUAAAAGUUUUUUUUAUUUUUUAAUGAUUUUUAUUUUUU
ensembl:lncRNA